rnacentral:rRNA from 1 species
AUUGAACGCUGGCGGCAGGCCUAACACAUGCAAGUCGAACGCGUGGCGGACGUGUGAGUAAUGUCUGGGAAACGGCCUGCUGGAUGGGGAUAACUACUGGAAACGGUAGCUAAUACCGCCUACCAACGGAUGUGCCCAAAUGGGAUUAGCUGGUUGGUGGGGUAACGGCUCACCAAGGCGACGAUCCCUAGCGGGUCUGAGAGGAUGCCCAGCCACAAUGGAAAGUAGACACGGGCCAGACUACUACGGGAGGCAGCAGUGGGGAAUAUUGGACAAGGGGCGAAAGCCGGAUGCAGCCAGGCCGCGUGUGUGAAGAAGGCCUUCGGGUUGUAAAGUACUUUCAGCGGGGAGGCGUUACCCGCAGAAGAAGCACCGGCUAACUCCGUGCCAGCCGCCGCGGUAAUUC